rnacentral:RNase_P_RNA from 1 species
GGAGUACGCUGGAUGAUCGCGCGAGUUCGCCUGCAAGGUCGAGCGAGUGAGGAAAGUCCGGGCUUCAUAGGGCAAGGUGCAGGAUAACGUCCUGUCGGGGCGACUCGAAGGAAAGUGCCACAGAAACAAACCGGUCGAAUCGACGGAUGCAAAUCAGUCGGCUCGUCUAAGGGUGAAAUCGUGAGGUAAGAGCUCACGGAGCCCCACGGAGACGUGGGCUCGGGUAAACCCCACCUGAAGCAAGAUUGCUCGAUUGGUUCCGGCAACGGAGCCGGACUGCCCGUCCGUACGAGCUGCAUCGCACCGAGGUGCGCGGCAACGCGCACCCCAGAUAGAUGAUCAUCAAAACAGAAUCCGGCUUAUAGGCGUACUCCACUU